rnacentral:misc_RNA from 1 species
GAUGAAGAACGUAGCGAAAUGCGAUAAGUAAUGUGAAUUGCAGAAUUCAGUGAAUCAUCGAAUCUUUGAACGCACAUUGUGCCCGCCAGUAUUCUGGCGGGCAUGCCUGUCCGAGCGUCAUUUCAACCCUCAAGCCCCCGGGCUUGGUGUUGGAGAUCGGCGAGCCCCCCGGGGCGCGCCGUCUCCCAAAUAUAGUGGCGGUCCCGCUGUAGCUUCCUCUGCGUAGUAGCACACCUCGCACUGGGAAACAGCGUGGCCACGCCGUAAAACCCCCCACUUCUGAAAGGUUGACCUCGGAUCAGGUAGGAAUACCCGCUGAACUUAAGCAUAUCAAUAAGCGGAGGA